CCUACGGGAGGCAGCAGUGGGGAAUAUUGCGCAAUGGGCGAAAGCCUGACGCAGCGACGCCGCGUGGGGGAGGAAGGCCUCAGGGUUGUAAACCCCUGUCAGGCGGGACGAACUACUUGUCGGUCAAUACCCGGCAAGCUUGACGGUACCGCCAGAGGAAGCUCCGGCUAACUCCGUGCCAGCAGCCGCGGUAAUACGGAGGGAGCGAGCGUUGUUCGGAAUUACUGGGCGUAAAGGGGGCGUAGGCGGCCUUGUAAGUCAGGUGUGAAAUGCCGGGGCUCAACUCCGUGCACUGCACCUGAUACUGCUUGGCUAGAGAGAGGUAGAGGCGAGCGGAAUUCCCGGUGUAGCGGUGGAAUGCGUAGAUAUCGGGAGGAACAUCUGCGGCGAAGGCGGCUCGCUGGGCCUUUUCUGACGCUGAAGCGCGAAAGCGUGGGUAGCAAACAGGAUUAGAUACCCUGGUAGUCCACGCUGUAAACGAUGGGCACUAGGUGUCGGUAGGCUUGGUCCUUUCGGCACCGUAGCUAACGCAUUAAGUGCCCCGCCUG
rnacentral:rRNA from 1 species